UACGUGAGGGGCAAGCGUUGUCCGGAUUUAUUGGGUUUAAAGGGUGCGUAGGCGGCCUGUUAAGUCAGGGGUGAAAGACGGUAGCUCAACUAUCGCAGUGCCUUUGAUACUGACGGGCUUGAAUGUACUUGAGGUAGGCGGAAUGUGACAAGUAGCGGUGAAAUGCAUAGAUAUGUCACAGAACACCAAUUGCGAAGGCAGCUUACUAAGGUAUGAUUGACGCUGAGGCACGAAAGCGUGGGGAUCAAACAGG
rnacentral:rRNA from 1 species